rnacentral:rRNA from 1 species
GACCAGACUCCUACGGGAGGCAGCAGUGGGGGAUAUUGCACAAUGGGGGAAACCCUGAUGCAGCGACGCCGCGUGGGUGAAGAAGUAUUUCGGUAUGUAAAGCCCUAUCAGCAGGGAAGAAAGAAGACGGUACCUGACUAAGAAGCCCCGGCUAACUACGUGCCAGCAGCCGCGGUAAUACGUAGGGGGCGAGCGUUAUCCGGAUUCACUGGGUGUAAAGGGAGCGUAGACGGCCGUGCAAGCCAGGAGUGAAAGCCCGGGGCCCAACCCCGGGACUGCUCUUGGAACUGUGCGGCUGGAGUGCGGGGGGGGCAGGCGGAAUUCCUGGUGUAGCGGUGAAAUGCGUAGAUAUCAGGAGGAACACCGAUUGCGAAGGCAGCCUGCCACAGCGUUACUGACGCUGAAGCUCGAAAGCGCGGGUAUCGAACAGGAUUAGAUACCCCAGUAA